CCUUAAUGGCAUUCAUAUCUUCUUCUUCAACCACUUCUGAUUCUUUAACUUCCGGCUCCAGGUCAUCCUUAGGAUAAUCAGAAGAGCGUCCAAUGCCGACACUUUUACACCAGGAAUAGAAGUUAUCGAGCUCAUCGAAUUGCUUGCCUUGACGGCAAAAUAUAUCAUAAACUUGAAGGGAUUCAGCAAGAUCUAGCUCCAUUAAGCGGUCGAUAAAAAUAGACAGUAUUUCAGUUAUGUCGUAAUAUAACUGGAAACUUUCUUUCACUAUUUGGUAAAGCGCCACAGUCACCACCCUGUUGCACUUUGCCGCUCCUGUUUCACAUCAGAGGAAAAAAAAACCCACUAAUCACAAGAAAUCUUCGCAAAAUGAUGCUCCGCUUGUUCUUACAAGCUCGAAGGUGUUCAAGUGGAGAAAAUUUGAAUGGUUUAUUUUUUAUGUUGAAAUC